rnacentral:rRNA from 1 species
AGAAUCAACGCUGGCGGCGUGCCUAACACAUGCAAGUCGAACGAGAAAGUGGAGCAAUCCAUGAGUAAAGUGGCGACCGGGUGAGUAACACGUGACUAACCUACCUUCGAGUGGGGGAUAACCUCGGGAAACCGAGGCUAAUACCGACAUAACAUCGCAAGAUCAAAGCAGCAAUGCGCUGGAAGAGGGGGUCGCGGCUGAUUAGCGUAGUUGGCGGGUAACGCCCACCAAGGCGAAGAUCGGUA